UACGGAGGGUGCAAGCGUUAUCCGGAUUCAUUGGGCGUAAAGGGUGCGUAGGCGGCGCGGUAAGUCGGGUGUGAAAUCUCGGGGCUUAACUCCGAAACUGCAUUCGAUACUGCCGUGCUUGAGGACUGGAGAGGAGACUGGAAUUUACGGUGUAGCGGUGAAAUGCGUAGAUAUCGUAAGGAAGACCAGUGGCGAAGGCGGGUCUCUGGACAGUUCCUGACGCUGAGGCACGAAGGCCAGGGGAGCAAACGGG
rnacentral:rRNA from 1 species